CCUACGGAGGGCAGCAGUGAGGAAUAUUGGUCAAUGGUCGGAACUCUGAACCAGCCAAGCCGCGUGCAGGAUGACGGCACAGUGGAUUGUAAACCUCUUUUAUCCGGGGAUAAACUGAGUCACGUGUGGCCUGUUGCAUGUACCUCAUGACAAAGGACCGGCUAAUUCCGUGCCAGCAGCCGCGGUAAUACGGAAGGUCCGGGCGUUAUCCGGCUUUCUUGGGUUUAAAGGGAGCGGAGGCCGCCCUGUAAGCGUGGUGUUAAAUCCCGGGGCUCCACCGUGGCACGGCCGUGGGAACUGGGGGGCUUGAGUGGGAGGGAGGUAGGCGGAAUGCGUGGUGUAGCGGUGAAAUGCUUAGAUAUCGCGCAGAACUCCGAUUGCGAAGGCAGCAUACCGGCUCGAUACUGACGCUGAGGCACGAAGGUGUGGGUAUCGAACAGGAUUAGAUACCCGUGUAGUC
rnacentral:rRNA from 1 species